rnacentral:lncRNA from 1 species
CAUUGGAAAGGCAACUUGAACUCACUUAUAGACCUACCUAUUGGUGAUUGCAUUGAAUUGACGUCACCUUGGAAGAGAUGUGUUCCACAUGGAAAAUCUUUCAUUAUAUGCACCUACUUGCAAGAUACCAAAAGGAAACAGGUGAAUACUUGCCCAAGAAUACAGAGGGCCACACUUGGUGAAGGUUUCAUCAGUAAGGAGAACCAUUUCAAGUAUGAAAUCCUCCCUUCUCAUUUUCUGAUGACUUCAUUUUUAUUCAAUAUCCAUUUGAAAUUAUUUAAGUUCAUUUUCUUUAUAUAUUAUAUUUUCUUUCUUGCUCAAUAAUUUCAUUCAAGUAAGUUGUUUGGAUAUCACAUUUUCUUUGGGGUUUUUUUUUUCUUUUUAGAAUAAUUUCAAAAGGUCAUUUUUAACUAUUCACAAAAUUUGAUCAUAGUUGAGUGAUUAAAAUUCAAGUUUAUUCUUAUUAUCAUUAGUAGUUAUUUGAUAUAUUCGUUUGCUAAUACAAAAAUAAGACUAACAAGUAAUGUGCAUAGAGUUUGUAGAAGAGAAGAAAGAUUUGAUCCAAGAUAUUCCUAAAGAUCGGAAACUUUCAAAGCCACCCAAGAUCCCAUAGGUUGAAUUCGGAUUCAUCCAGUUUACAAUCCAUUAAUUCUACUUAUAUCAUCUUUGUUAUGUUACAAUUUGCCUUUACUUGUUAUGCAGCCUACCUUAAUAAUUUGGGGAGACCAAGAUAAGGUAUACCUAGUAGAACUGGCUCACAAAUUGAAAAGGUAAACUUGUAUCACCUGCCUACAUGCCUACAACAAUAUAAACACUAGUUCGUGUCUUUCUCACUAUUGAAAUUGUUAUUGCAUGCAGGCAUUUCAGGUGAGGAGGCCCAACUUGUGAUCAUAGAGCAUACUUUUAUUAUAGAGAAGCCCAAGGAAAUAUUUAAGCACUUGAAAUCCUUUCUCAUUGAUUUGCUUCCACCUCCUAAGCAACACCUAGAACCACUCCCACCAUGACGAAGUUAAAAGGAACUAAUGCAACAUUCUCAAUAUAUUAGAAUAUAUCGAAGGAAGGGUGGCCACAUAUGAAGACCCUAUUCCAAGGUCAAAUUUAAGAUUUUUGUGUUUUUCCUAUCACUAUUCCUAUGCUAUUAUCAGUGCACCUUAUUUGUCAAGAUGAUUAAAAGGGAAUUCCCUAGGAUAACUAGUGUCUCAAGUGAUCUUGAAGUUCAUAAAUUUUUUGUUUCCACAAGAUAGGUGCUAACUAUUUUUAUUUUUUUUACACCCAUGCAAUAUUCUAGUCAUCUAUUAACAAGGGCUAAAAUUUCUUGUAGAGAAUAGAAUAAAGAACUAAAUUACAUGAAAAUAGGACAUUAUUAUUCUAUUUACAAGUAAGGGCCAAAAAUUGUUGAGGGCCACCAAGCACAUUGUUCCUAAAAUAAUAGCAUCCAUGUUGUUGAGCAAAAGUUUUUUUAUAUUGGCACCUCAUAUGUUUGUUUAAAUGCUCACAUCAAUAACUUUGAAAAUAUUUUCCAAAUUUUCAACAAAUUGUAAUGCUGUGCACUAAACUAAUCAUUUUACUUGGAGUUCUACAUUCUAAGAUUUUGAGAAAAAAACUAAGGUCUGAUAUGACAACUCUCAAUCCUAAAUGUUGUUUUGUGUUUGGAAUAUUACUGCACUUGAUAGAUGCCCUUACCUCUCUUACAGAACUUGGAAUUCAUGGCUACCCAGAAUUGGCAUCCCUGCCAGAAGAUAUGUUCCCUCAAAAGCCUGCAGAAACUAAACAAUUUGCAUUUGUUCACACUUAGAGGAAAGCUGCUGAAAGGAAAAGUGAAGACUAACCAAAGAUUUCUCAUAUCCCACAAAUUGAUAUCAUACAUCCAUGAAGAUUGAACUGAUACAGAAUGCCUUUCAGGUUUGAAAUCCCUAACUUUUCUUCUUAUUUUCUAUGACUUCAUUUUUAUUAUCUUCCAUUCAAAAAUCCUCUGUUUUCAUUUGUUUUGGUAGUUCUUUUUAUUUGCACCUUAUUUGUUUUAUUAAAUGCUUACUCCAGUAAGUUUGAAAAUUUUUACAUCUUCAAAUCAUUUUGCUUGAGUAUUUUGCAUUCUAAUAGUUUGAGGAAAUAUUGAGCUCUAACAUAAAUAGUAUUGGUCAUAGAGUCUUCCUUUCUUAAGAAGCUUACCAUUAACCUAAUGGCCAAAGGAUCCCAAAAGGAAAUGAAUUUGGGUUGGCUUGAAGAUUUCACAUGGUCCAAACAUUCGUAUUUACUAGAUGCCUGAUACAAAAGAAAUUUUGCUCUCUUUUCAAUUUAGCCAUUGAUGUAGUCUAAAUGUUUUAUUAGAGCAAUAAUUGUCGAGUAAAUGCAAAAUAGAGAAUGGUGUUAAUGAAUUCAGUACUUCAUUUAUGUUGUAGACUUGUAGUUUAGCAGCUUCUGUUGAUAAUGAGUGUGAGGUUGGCUUUAUCAUGUCACUGUUCCAAAUAUUCUUAAAAAAAAUAAUUUAAGCUCUGUAUGGUUCUUAGAAAAUUUAAGGGAAAAUGUGAGGAAAACAAAAUAGAGAGGAAAAGUGGAAGGAAAAAAAAGUGAAAGUCAAUAAAUUAUUUUUGUAUGCUACUUCAAACUCACUUCACUUUUUUUUAACUCUUCAAUAUAAAGAUUAAAUCAUUUGAAAAAUGUGUAAAUUUCUAAUUAAUUUUAAUUAUAUUUGAUUUUCUUUGGUAUUUUCCAAAAGACAACCAAAUAUGAGAAAAUCAUUUUCCUUUACAUUUUUUUUCUUAGUACUUUUAGGGAACCAAACAUAACCUAACUGUUUUAGUUUAGUAGUUUCAUCAAAUUAGAUAGACAACCUCACAUCUCUUAGUGAGCUGAGGUGCUAUGUCAAUUAAUGCUUUGUCUCUACUCUUCAUUGAAGUCUCUAUCUAUUGGAUGCACAGAUGAUAUGAUCUAAACUCAAAUUGAACACUGUUCUUGUUUUGCAACAUUACUGCACUCGAAAGGCAACUUCAACUCACUUAUAGACCUUCCUAUUGGUGAUUGCACUGAAUCGACAUCACUUUGGAAGAGAUGUGUUCCACACAGAAAAUCUUUCAUUAUAUUCACCUACUCGCAAGAUACCAAAGGGAAACAGGUGAAUACUUGCCCAAGAAUACAAAGGUCAUACUUGGUGAAGGUUCCAUCAAUAAGGAGAACCAUUUCAAGAAUGGAAUUCUCAUUUCUUCUCAUUUUCUUAUGGCUUCAUUUUUAUUCAAUAUCUAUAUGAAAUUAUUUAUGUUCAUUUUCUUUAGAUAUUACAUUUUUUUGCUUUCUCAAUAAUUUCAUUCAAGUUCUUUUGGAUAUCACAUUUUCUUUGGUGUUUUUUUUAGAAUAAUUCAAAAUGUCUUUUUUAACGGUUCACAAAAUUUGAUCACAGUUGAGUGAUUAAAAUUCAAGUUUAUUAUUAUUAUUAUUAUUGGUUAUUUGAUAUAUUUGUUUUCUUAUACAGAUAAAAGACUAGCAGCUAUUGUGCAUAGAAUUUGUAGAAGAGAAUAAAGAUUUGAUCUAAGUUAUUCCUAAUAGGUUGAGGAAUUCAUUCUUGUAAAAAUUGAGUGUUAAAGC